GAUGAACGCUAGCGGGAGGCCUAACACAUGCAAGCCGAGCGGGAUUUGAGACUAGCUUGCUAGUCUUAAUGAGAGCGGCGUACGGGUGCGGAACACGUGUGCAACCUGCCUUUAUCUGGGAGAUAGCCUUUCGAAAGGAAGAUUAAUAUCCCAUAAUAUAAUGAUUGGCAUCAAUUAUUAUUGAAAGCUCCGGCGGAUAGAGAUGGGCACGCGCAAGAUUAGAUAGUUGGUGAGGUAACGGCUCACCAAGUCGAUGAUCUUUAGGGGGCCUGAGAGGGUGAUCCCCCACACUGGUACUGAGACACGGACCAGACUCCUACGGGAGGCAGCAGUGAGGAAUAUUGGACAAUGGGUGAAAGCCUGAUCCAGCCAUCCCGCGUGAAGGAUUAAGGACCUAUGGUUUGUAAACUUCUUUUCUACAGGGAUAAACCUACUCUCGUGAGAGUAGCUGAAGGUACUGUAGGAAUAAGCACCGGCUAACUCCGUGCCAGCCGCCGCCAUAAUAC
rnacentral:rRNA from 1 species